GGGGAAUAUUGGACAAUGGGCGAAAGCCUGAUCCAGCCAUGCCGCGUGUGUGAAGAAGGUCUUCGGAUUGUAAAGCACUUUAAGUUGGGAGGAAGGGCAUUAACCUAAUACGUUAGUGUUUUGACGUUACCGACAGAAUAAGCACCGGCUAACUUCGUGCCAGCAGCCGCGGUAAUACGAAGGGUGCAAGCGUUAAUCGGAAUUACUGGGCGUAAAGCGCGCGUAGGUGGUUUGUUAAGUUGAAUGUGAAAGCCCCGGGCUCAACCUGGGAACUGCAUCCAAAACUGGCAAGCUAGAGUAUGGCAGAGGGUGGUGGAAUUUCCUGUGUAGCGGUGAAAUGCGUAGAUAUAGGAAGGAACACCAGUGGCGAAGGCGACCACCUGGGCUAAUACUGACACUGAGGUGCGAAAGCGUGGGGAGCAAAC
rnacentral:rRNA from 1 species